AUCAAGCCAUCACCGUCACGUCGACAAGCGACUGUCCGCGAUGAUCUGCACAAUAAGUCAAUCAGCGGGUCGAUCAGAAGUAGACAGACCACCAACCGUGCGACGUGAAACUCCUGACAAAUGAUUCUGCCGAUACGAGAGAGGCUCAGAAACGAAUCCGAGUGACGUCUUCAUACUCGUCCUCGCGCCACGGAUUCUCGCAGUGGCCGUAGAAACCAUGGAGCACGUCCGUCACACAAAUCGCCCAACCAGCCUUCCAGGAUGUCACCGAUUUAUUUUACGAGAUGGCCCCGUCAUCCUGGCCCGCGCCACACCGCGCCGCGCCGCAUCCUCUCUGUUCACGCUUGUACCGAGUCCUUACGCGAUGCGACCCACGGACGGACGUCCUGACGUACACACGGACGCAUAUCGAUGCUUUAUUGGGAACCAUUACCUUUCUACGAUCGCUAUAAGUCCUGCGGUGGAACGCGGCUACGGAUAUCGAUACAGGUUUUCGGCCCCCGAGCCCCGGGGACAAAGUGGGAAAAAAAAGGAAAGAAAAUCAUAAGGCAUCGCAAUCACGUUCUCCGUUCUCGGGAGAUCGAACGCGGAGAUACACGACGAAGAUUUCGAGCAGGCUUCCUUGCCUCUUCGAUGAUACUUUCUCGUUCUCCGUCGUAUCUCUUUAUUUAUUUUCUUCUUUGUAUUAAGCAAGCUCGGAUGAUUAUCUGUUCGUAGUUUUAUUUGAAAUUGGAUUACCCGUGUCGUGUAGGUAUUGGAAUAUACCUGGAAUUUGUCUUGUAAAUGGAAUGUACAAUAUGUUAUUAAAAUCAUAUUAUGCUUAUUUCGAAAUUAAACAUUUGAUUUUAUUUUAUGGCAUAAUUGUAAUUGUUCAUAUGAUUUCUAAAAAAUAUCUUCGCAGUCGUAAUUGUCCGACGAUCAUUAUAAGAAACUUAAUCGACGCUUGAGUAUACCAGGACACUUACUGUCUAAUUGCAUUGUAGCCAACAGGGAAAUCAGGUAGCCCGUCCGAAUCAAUAAACGUCCUGUGACAAUGGAGGCAAGAAUGCCGAGAAAGUGGUCAGGAUUUUGGGACAAAACGGUCGGAUCAGCGAGCAAUUUCCUAGUAGCCCCUGCCGGAAGACGGUUCCCGGCGCAACCCCUAAUUACCAGAAGCAAUUAGAAAAUUGCGUCAGGCCGGGCCAAGGUGCGAUUCAUCAUCAUCCCUUUCGAACAACCGACCCGUCCGCGUCCGCCUGUUCGUUCUCUCUGCGUGUGUUCCCCAUCCCCAGAUUGCUCUGGAUUUCAACACAAAUUUACCUGGCCUGAGAAUAAACUGGAGAUAUCGGCUUGGAAAUUGCGAAAGUAGCGAACGGAAAGGUUUCCCAAGCCGUAGUUCCCGGCGGGGCUCCUGACUCUCGAUGGCUAGGGCGAUAUUCGUCCGGUCUUCGAGAAAUAGAUCGACGAUCGGAACCAUUAUUCAGGGAGGCGACCGGCCGAAAAUCGGAGGACGGAUUAUGGCCGGUGGUUCUCGGGGUAAAUUGGACCGCAUUAGAUGCACAUCGGGAUUAAUGAGGUCUAUUAUUGAGACAGGAAACAGAUUGCUGUCCGAAUAAAAAUAUACGAUGAAUCUUGACUGAAGCUUGAGGGAAAAAACUGAAGUUACGGAAGAAAGAUGUCUUCUGUAUCGCAUCAUUUUAUUAUCCAACAUCCUACACUGUAAGCUACCUCCAAUUAAAUUUAUUAAUAAAGAAGUCGAGUUAAAACAAACUGAAGAUGAUUAAACGUUUGAUCGCUGAGGAAUUUAUUUAAUUUUUAAUUCGCGAUGACAAUAAUUUAGAAGACGGAAUCGAGCAUGACCAUUUUCCAGCACGUUCCCAACUCGGUCCAUUAUUUAUCAAGUUUUGAUGUAUUCCUAUUUAUUAUAAUUUAUGCACGAUCGAGCGCGUCUGAACUGGCUAAGAAUACCGGUUUCUAUUAGCAAGAUUUAAAUCACGAUGUCUAGCGCUGCAAUUUAUCUCAUCCACGAUUUCUCUUCGUUCGAAUAGCACAUCUAAAGACAACUUUUAUUGCUUUCUUAACAGCUCCUUUCAUUUUCGUUUAUUUUCAAAUAAUUCUGAUACAUCUAUAAGGUUACCUUCAGUCUGAAUUCAGUUCCAGCUUUAAUUCUCUUUAAGACGAAAUACGUGUCCCGUUGAUAAUUAUUUCAUGACAAUAAUCAUAUCGAAUCGCGCUUCUUAAUUUGGAAUUCUGUACGAAACUCUAUUUAGGCAAGUUAUUUUAAGCGCUUUAAUAGCUACCAUUACGAAAUGCACACUUUAGAAACGCUUCAGUGGUACUCGCUAAACAGUACAUCCCAUCAUUGCGAGUUACGCAUUGUUACUUUUACUGCCCACACAAAAUUUUUUGCACCGACAUCGUUACUCGUGGCUGUGAAUACCGUCACGUCGAUUUUCAAUCCCAUCCAGACUGGAGCAGCGUGGCGCGACGCGGAGCGACACGGCAGUGGCAUCUCAGCUGCAAGAAAAAUUGAUACGUGGGCCUCUAAUGGCCCAACAAAAACGGACCCAACAGAGACGCGACAACAAAAGCGUAUGCAUAUUAUGAACGGAUGGACGAGGUGCAGGAGGAACGGAUGCCAGAAAUAUAUUGCCUCGGUGCACCCACUCUCUUUCUACGAGUUGCACACGUGGUCCAGACACGAGGAGGGAAGGCCACGGGGAGUGCAGAAAAAGCAGGGAGGAGGUGUAGAAGUGCGGAGAAAGAAACGGAGACAAGAAAAAAGAGAAAAAAAAACGCGCGACGAAGGAAAACAACGGAGACAGAAAGUAGCAGAAAAAGGGAGGAGAACCGAAGAAGAGGACAAGGAAGCAAAGAUAGAAAAAGAAGAACAAAUUUGCGAAGCUCGCGCAUCCCUCCUUUUAUCUGGCUUUGUGACGAGGAGCAGGCGAGGCCCUCACGACAGAAAAUUAGUAAAAUCCGGCGGGUAGCGCGUGGAACUGUCUGUCCCGGUGCCCGGAGUCGGAUUUAUAAGGAGCGAAGCCACGAUUUAUGCUGGGGCCUUGGUUAUUUAUCGAUUUCGAUGGUGCACGCGAUAUCAUUGCACGGAUAUCGAUACGUUCUUGCCUCGAACUCUGGGUUUGGGUUGACUCCUACUCGUCCUUCUUCGUCUUUCUUCUUCCACUUUCGCUGUUCCUCUUUCACUUUAGUUUUCCGAACUUUAUGAAUAAAAUGGAAUUUAUAAUUGGA